GUUUGGAUAUGCCAAUGUGUUAUCAGCUUCUCUUCACAUGUUUAUUUUAUCGCUGUUUAAGGCUUGCAGUGCUCGAAGAAAGACAAGCUGUGCUUGAAAAAACACAAGAAAUUGUCCGAAAGAAGAGUCGCUUCGCUUGAAGGAAAAAUUGCAUUAUGCAAUAGAAGAAUAAAGAUACGCUUGACAUUGUAAAGAAACUGUAUGCGAGAAAAGUCAAGCUUGAAAUCGACAAGAUGCUACCUGACACAACCGCCACAACGAACGGAUACGACAAGACUCUGUAUGACAGUGGUGUCGCCUCCAUUUUGUAGGACAAGAUACUAUCUGACAGAAAAAUCGCCACGCUCGAGAACGAUACUGCAGUAUCACCCAACCGGAGUGGAAAAGAUGAAAGUUUCUCUGCUGCAGUUGAAAUUGCAGAUUGGUCAACUGCUGUAAUUCAAUCCAAACACAGACGGGUUUGUAGCAUUUUCCGUUAUGAAAGACGCUCAUCAGGACCACAUCGGCGUUAAUCAGAACAUCAUAUUUGAGCAGGUUGUUACAAAUGAAGGAGGCGGGUACCAUUGACGAUUAUGGGUUUCACUAAUCGGGAGGUUUUUGCUGCCAUGGUUCAUAACGGACACGUUGUCGCGAAAAUUUACGCUCACGGGGUCAGUGGACUAGAACAAGGCAGUCAAGCGUUUGUCAUAAAGGUUAAUGCUGGUGAUGAAGUUGCGGUUCGACAUAAUGACAAUGCAGACACUUUUAUAUGGAGUAAUCUGUUUUCGUCGUUCAGUGGCUAUUUAGUAUUGCUGCAAUAAAAAAGAUU